UAUGCUGGAUAAUCCAAAAAAGAAAACCAAAGUGUGGACCGCUAUAUCAGAUGGUUUAAAGCAAUUUGAUGUUGAGCAUGGAUCAACAGUCAACAUCUCACAAUAUAUCGUACAUCUAAUUACCUUGUUAACUGUAUAUGGACAAUUUAUACAAAAUUAAAUAGGAACUUUAAACCAACAAUGAUUUCCCCAUGCAUCGUCAUCAAAGUCAUAACUCGAUAAAUAAAAAAUCACAGCUAUGCAUUAACAUAAAUGUUAUAAAAUCUUAUUUGAUAUCAACCAAGCAAAUGGUGUUAUUCAUCUCAAUUCUAUCGUUCGACUGUGACAACAU